rnacentral:lncRNA from 1 species
CUGAGGGCAUGGUGGCUUGGGUACCAAUCUAGCCUAUCUAGAAAGAACAGCUGCUGCCGCUUUAGUGCUGAAACAAGUCAAAUGAAAGUCACAUCUUGUUAAAUAACAGUUAGCAUUUGGUGUCAAAUGAAGCUAAGUUCAUAUUCAUCAUAGGAAUAGUAGAUUCGAUGUUACUAGGAAACAAAUUCAGUUUUCUACCAUGAUAGAAUGUUCACAAAAAUACAUGUAAGAAUGUUCACGGUUCCAAGAAAAUGGAGAUAUGUACCUGUAGCUUGCCACAAUAAGAGCUUGUCAUGAUCUGCACAUUUAAAUGAAAUUCAGAAAGCACAAUUUUCUGCCUUUAGGAGACAAUAUGGAGUCAGCACUGACAUUGAAAUUAAGUGUUUGCAUCAAGUAUUCAGUCUAGGUCAGAUUAUGAUGUGGAAACGAUUUGGUAGUACAAGUCAAUAGCUUGAAACAAUAAGCAGGGCGGUCACCUCGUGGUGGUGGGAGGGGGGUAGGGGAUCAGAUUUUUCUCCACGGGGAAAAGCAAGGCGGGAUCGAGAGCGAUCGAUUGAUGGGGAUAGUCCGCCUCAAAUUGGGCACAAGCAGCGAACUGGAUCUUGUGAUCCGGAGAGGAGUAGCAGCAAGCGCGAUUGGAGCGCGAUGCAAGAACAAUCGCGAGAUUUUGAUUUCUCGCAGCAGCUCAGC